rnacentral:rRNA from 1 species
GUUGCAGUUAAAAAGCUCGUAGUUGAACCUUGGGCCUGGCUGGCCGGUCCGCCUCACCGCGUGCACUGGUCCGGCCGGGUCUUUCCCUCUGGGGAGCCGCAUGCCCUUCACUGGGUGUGUCGGGGAACCAGGACUUUUACUUUGAAAAAAUUAGAGUGUUCAAAGCAGGCUUAUGCUCGGAUACAUUAGCAUGGAAUAAUAGAAUAGGACGUGCGGUUCUAUUUUGUUGGUUUCUAGGACCGCCGUAAUGAUUAAUAGGGACAGUCGGGGGCAUCAGUAUUCAAUUGUCAGAGGUGAAAUUCUUGGAUUUAUUGAAGACUAACUACUGCGAAAGCAUUUGCCAAGGAUGUUUUCAUUAAUCAGGAACGAAAGUUAGGGGAUCGAAGACGAUCAGAUACCGUCGUAGUCUUAACCAUAAACUAUGCCGACUAGGGAUCGGACGAUGUUAUUUUUUGACUCGUUCGGCACCUUACACGAAAGUACAAGUUUCUGGGUUCUGGGGGGAGUAUGGUCGCAAGGCUGAAACUUAAAGAAAUUGACGGAAGGGCACCACCAGGGGUGGAAUCUGCGGCUUAAUUUGACUCAACACGGGGAAACUCACCAGGUCCAGACACGAUGAGGAUUGACAGAUUGAGAGCUCUUUCUUGAUUUCGUGGGUGGUGGUGCAUGGCCGUUCUUAGUUGGUGGAGUGAUUUGUCUGCCUAAUCGCGAUAACGAACGAGACCUUAACCUGCUAAAUAGCCCGCGUUGCUUUGGCAGCGCGCUGGCUUCUUAGAGGGACUAUCGGCUCAGCCGAUGGAGUUUGAGCAUACAGUCUGUGAUGCCCUUAGAUGUCUGGGCUGCACGCGCGUACACUGAC